rnacentral:tRNA from 1 species
GCGGAUAUAGCUCAGUGGUAGAGCGUUCGACUGCAGAUUGAGAGGUCCCCGGUUUAAACCCGGGUGUUCCAUA